rnacentral:misc_RNA from 1 species
UUAACUAUUUUAUAGUUUCUCAGACAAUACUGAUAAUAAGAGUUUGGGGUCCUCUGGCAGGCGCGGACCAGCUUAAGCCGGUGGCCCGAGAGCGGGCCUGCCAAAGCAACAAAGUAUGUAAACAUAGGGUGGGAGAUCGAUCCGAAGAUCAGUUCUCUGUAAUGAUCCUUCCGCAGGUUCACCUACGGAAA